rnacentral:rRNA from 1 species
GUUCAGAACGUCGUGAGACAGUUCGGUCCCUAUCUACCGUGGGCGUUAGAAUUUUGAGGGAAGCUGCUCCUAGUACGAGAGGACCGGAGUGGACGAACCUCUGGUGUACCAGUUGUCACGCCAGUGGCACCGCUGGGUAGCUAUGUUCGGACAGGAUAACCGCUGAAAGCAUCUAAGCGGGAAGCCCCUCCCAAGAUGAGAAUUCUCUGAGAGCUAGACUCUCCUAAAGGGCCGUUGGAGACGACGACGUUGAUAGGCGGGAUGUGGAAGUGCAGUAAUGUAUGUAGCUAACCCGUACUAAUUGCCCGUGAGGCUUGAUCCUAUAACCCGGAA